GCGGGCGUAGCUCAGUUGGUAGAGCACCACCUUGCCAAGGUGGAUGUCGCCGGUUCGAGUCCGGUCGCCCGCUCCA
rnacentral:tRNA from 1 species